GAGAGGAAACAACCUCAGCAGUAGUGGGAGCUUUCUGUGAGGACAGAUCUAUACUUAAAGACUAGAAGAAAUGGAGCACAUUUGAGUUGAUGGACGGGAGUCCUCUCAUCAACUUGAGUCUUUUCAUUCUAGAAAGUUUUUACCCCAUCUUUACAAGGCCAAACUAAACUUUUUCACUGCCAGUAUCAGAAAUUGAUAAUAUCAGUGGGCAACAGCAAGUAGCAAGUGUUAACUGCACAGAAGAAGCCAACUAUUUGCAAAAAUGUAGAAAGAAUUACAGUUCCUUAAAAAACGUGAAGGAUUUGUAGGAAGUCUUACCACUGAAGAUGUGAGGAUUCUUUCCACAGUGGUACCUGAAAGAGGUAAUCUGUACCUUCUUCCAAGCUUAUUUGGGAUCCAACUGGUUCUUUCUAUUCCAUCAAACAUUCCUGUUGAGGUAUCCAUCCUUCCAGUAAGUGCUACUUAAAAGUCGAUAAUCUCUAUUUUGAAGACCAGAUAUAAGUUACCUAAAGACAGGUUGACCUAUUACAGGAUGUACUGGUAAGUUCCAGAGGACUUUUAAAAGAGCAUUUGAUAUUAGCCUGAUUUCUCU
rnacentral:lncRNA from 1 species